AGUGAACGCUGGCGGUAGGCCUAACACAUGCAAGUCGAACGGCAGCACAGUAAGAGCUUGCUCUUACGGGUGGCGAGUGGCGGACGGGUGAGGAAUACAUCGGAAUCUACUUUUUCGUGGGGGAUAACGUAGGGAAACUUACGCUAAUACCGCAUACGACCUACGGGUGAAAGCAGGGGAUCUUCGGACCUUGCGCGAUUGAAUGAGCCGAUGUCGGAUUAGCUAGUUGGCGGGGUAAAGGCCCACCAAGGCGACGAUCCGUAGCUGGUCUGAGAGGAUGAUCAGCCACACUGGAUCUGAGACACGGUCCAGACUCCUACGGGAGGCAGCAGUGGGGAAUAUUGGACAAUGGGCGCAAGCCUGAUCCAGCCAUACUGCGUGGGUGAAGAAGGCCUUCGGGUUGUAAAGCCCUUUUGUUGGGAAAGAAAAGCAGCAGGUUAAUACCCCGCUGUUCUGACGGUACCCAAAGAAUAAGCACCGGCUAACUUCGUG
rnacentral:rRNA from 1 species